rnacentral:RNase_P_RNA from 1 species
UGAUGGAAAGUGCAACAGAAAAUAUACCGCCAUUAUGGUAAGGGUGAAAUGGUAAGGUAAGAGCUUACCGCUUGCUUGGUAACAAGCAUGGCAUUGCAAGCCCCACCAGGAGAAAGACCAAAUAGGAACCGUUCGAGCUUCAAAGUUCGAUAUCUCUUAAAUACGGUUCGGGUAGGUCGCUUGAUCCAGUUGGUGACAACUGGGCUAGAUGAAUGGUCAUUGAGCUUAACGGCUUACAAAAUCCGGCUUAUAAGCUUUCCACAACC